ensembl:lncRNA
ACCUUUUCUCGUAAUCGAAUGGUAUUACGAGAACAUGACCAAUUUAGGUUUUCACACCUGCUGGGUUUCAUCCCUCCACAGUUCAGAUGGUGACUUGAGAGAAACAGGUUAUUUGAAUCUGCACUCACUAUCCUGUACCAGGGGAAAUGAGAACAGAAAGCACACGGGGUACUGCCCCAGCUGGUCUUUCUUCUAAAAGCUGCCUUUUUGGUUCUAGGCCUUUCUCAUUUCCUUUUCACCCUCUGCCUGGGACAGGAAAUGGUAGAGCUUGCAUAGAUCCAAGAACUGGGAUUGAACUGAACUGGGACCCGCCGAACUUUGGAUGCAGUUAUUGGAGGGAUGAAACCAAGCAGCCUUGCUUCAUUCAAUGCUGUUCCUUAGAAGCUGAGAUGACCUGGUUUAAGGUGUAUCUUUCCAAACCGUAUUCUGAGCCGAGCACUUUGGGAGGCCGAGGAGGGUGGACAACCUGAGAUCAGGAGUUCGAGACCAGCCUGGCCAACAUGGUGAAACCCCGUCUCUACUAAAAAUACAAAAAUUAGCCGGGUGUGGUGGCGGGUGCCUGUAAUUCCAGCUACUUGGGAGGCUGAGGCAGGAGAAUCACUUGAACACGCGAGGGGAGGUUGCAGUGAGCCAAGAUCGUGCCACUGCACUUCAGCCUGGGCAACAGAGCAAGACUCUGUCUCAAAAAAAAAAAAUUCAUAUUCUGUGCAUCUCUAAGUAUUUAUAUAUAUAUAUAUAAGUACAAAGGUUUUUUGUGAGGGGGGUUGCAUAAAUAGGAUUGUAUCUUCUGCCAUUUGUGAUCAUUUGUGAACAUGUUCAAGGAAUCCAUGUCAGAAGUUGAAUGCUGCUGCUAAAUGUUGGGGGUCAGGUGGGGGAAUAGAGGGAGGGCUAUCAUCUUGGUCUCACAUAAUCUUUGGGGAAUUAAUCACAUAUGUUGAUGUAGCUCUUUACAAUUUGUAAAGAAGCCCUUUUAGCUUUUUCCAAGAGUGGAAUUAAAAACUUUUUGUAAUUGCUGUGCGGUGCCAAAGUGCUUUCCAGAAAGACCGGAGCACUUUAUGUGGUUAUCAGCAGUGUGAACUUGUUCUGGAAUCUCCAUUUUUACUUAAUUUGUUUGCUUAAUGGGUAUAUAAUUAUAGUUUCAGUUUUACUUUUAUUCGAUUGUUGGCAAGGCCAUGUAUUUUUCCGUGAAUUAAGAUGAGUUUCUUUUUUUCCUCUAUGCUUUAGUUUUUCUUUCUUGUCCAGUUCAAACAACAUAACCCUAGUAUUUUCUCAUUAGCUUUUUCUGAACUGCUCCCUGCUUCUGGGGUAGAAGAGGUGCAUUUCUACCUCUGAACUUCUGAGCCUUUGGGCAAGUGAGGGUGAUUUGACUUGCAUAGGAUUAGAGAGCCAUGUGCUCUCCAAAGUGGGGGAACUAAGUCUUAUAGAUGCGGUGGUGGGCAUUAGGAAGCAGCCGUCAUCAUUGGUGGUGUGUCUGAAAGAACAAUCACCAUCAUUGGUGGUGUGCCUGAAACCCCUAACCUAGAGGCAGCCACCAUCAUUGGUGGUGUGUCUGAAACCCCUAACCUAGAGGCACUGGUGUCCUUAACCAGCUAGCCAAUCCAGUCAGUUCUUCAUCCGGGAGCCAAAGACCCCAGGCCCUGGUAUCCCAAUUCCACCUAGGCUGGUAGCCUUUUGCCAGACUAAGAAAUCAAAAAGGUUUGCAGAACCAAAGCGGGCCAGUGGUGGUUUCUGUCACUCACCCCAGCACUCCAACCUCAGCCUCAGAUCUCACAGCUCUAAAGAGAGGAAAGAUCACUCCGAGAAACCAAAGCCAAGAGCUUGAAAACGUCUGCCAGUGCUCUGGGCAGGACGAGUCCAGGCUCACCUCUCGGCCCUGGACAGAAGAUGAGGCGUCCACAGAGGCCACACCUUCAGUCCCCCGACGACUCUGCCCCCAGGACUGCAAUUGGCUGCAGGGUCCUGGGAGAUGAUUAACCAGGAAUCUCAGCCUGGCGCGGUGGCUCACGCCUGUAAUCCCAGCACUUUGGGAGGCCGAGGCGGGCGGAUCACAGGGUCAGGAGACCAAGACCAUCCUGGCUAACACGGUGAAACCCCGUCUCUACUAAAAAAUACAAAAAACUAGCUGGGCGAGGUGGCGGGCGCCUGUAGUCCCAGCUACUAGGGAGGCUGAGGCAGGAGAAUGGUGUGAACCCAGGAGGCGGAGCUUGCAGUGAGCCGAGAUCGCACCACUGCACUCUGGCCUGGGCGGCAGAGGAGGCUCUAUCUCACAAAAACAAAUACAAAACAAGCAGGAAUCUCCACCUCAUCAGGGACAGAGGGAGGGCAAGGGCAGGGCCUCUCCCGGAAGCGGACGGGCACUGUGGUCCUGUCUUCUCCCUUGUGAUACUCAGGCCUGGGAGACAGAGCAAGACUCCGUCUCAAAAAAAAAAAAAAAAAAAAAUUUAUAUAGGGAUGUAUGUAUAUCUUUAUUAAUGCCUUAGAGUAGCAGGUCUGAUAACUGCUUCCAAAGUGGUGAUGAGCUUACAUUGUACUUUGAGAUACCUGUCGUAGCUGUAAUGUAACAGGAAUAUAUAAUUUGUGUUGGUAUCAAGAUUACUGGUGGGUGUGGUGGCUCACGCCUGUAAUCCCAACACUUUGGGAGGCCGAGGCGGGUGGAUCACCUGAGGUCAGGAGUUCGAGACCAGCCUGGCCAACACAGUGAAACCCCAUCUCUACUAAAAAUACAAAAAUUAGCCAGGCGUGGUGGCAGGUGCCUGUAAUCCCAGCUACUUGGGAGGCUCAGGCAGGAGAAUCACUUGAACCCAGGAGUCAGAGGUUGCAGUGAGCCGAGUUCACGCCACUGCACUGCAGCCUGGGUGGCAAGAGCGAAACUCCAUCUCAAAAAAAAAAAAAAAAAAAAAAAGAAAAGAUUACAGGUACUGCUGAUACUACUAGGGUUGUUGCCUGCUUCAUAAUUGAAGGGAAUGCUACAUUUCAGUGGAAGGAUAGUAAAAAUAGACGUGUGAAUUUCACAGACUUCCUACUCUGGUCCCACCUGCAAAAGCACGUGUCCCACAUGGGCUUUGUACUUUUGCAGCUAACCCUCAUGAUCACUCCAGGCGAUACUAUGUUUUAUGGCGUGGAUAUGAUGUUUGUUUUCCAGAGGAGUGAACAACUCGGCCAGGCCCCCAGGGCUAGCAUACCGCAGAGCCGCUGUUCCAAAGGAAGGCUUUUGGGUCGUGUCUAAUGCUUUUCCACAGAAGCUUCACGCAGACUCGGUAGGGCCUAGGUGACAGCCUCAGAGUGGAGUUGGUGUUUUAGACUUUGGCAGGUGGAAGAGUGACUUGUGAACUCAGCUCUUCUGGCUCUUUGCCCCGACCCCCGCAGGCGCUGAUGCUCUAGCUGGGCUUGGAUCUGGGCCUCCGCAGUUUUCAGCACGUGCUCCAGGCGGUGGUGAUGUGGGAGCCACACCCUGUGAGAUGUCACUGAUACCAGUAUGUGCUCAUCUGGUUACACUUUGUCAAUGGGCCGCACUCAGGAUAGGCUUGCAGCCUUCAGGAGGCGAAUUUUCACUUAAUGCCCUGGUAGAAUUACCUCUGUUGAAAUCUUCUAUGGGCCAGGCACAAUGGCUCACAGCUGUAACCCCAGCACUUUGAGAGCACGAGGGGGGCAGAUUGCUUGAACCCAGGAGUUUGAGACCAGCCUGGGCGACAUGGUGAGACCCCACCUGUACAAGAAAUACAAAGAUUACCCAGGGGCCGGGCGUGAUCACUCAUGCCUGUAAUCCCAGCCCUUCGGGAGGCUAAGGCAGGUAGAUCACGCGGUCAUGAGAUCGAGACUGUCCUGGCCAACAUGAGGAAACCCUGUCUCUACUAAAAUACAACAAAUUAGCCAGGUGUGGGGGUGCGUAUCUGUAGUCUCAGCUACUCAAGAAGCUGAGGCAGGGGAAUCGCUUGAAUCUGGGAGACAGAGGUCGCAGUGAGCUGAGAUCGUGCCACUGCAUGCCAGUCUGCCGGCAGAGCGAGACUCCAUCUGAAAAAAAAAAAAAAAAUUAGCCAGGUAUGGUACAUACCUGUAGUCCCAGCUACUCAGGAGGCUGAGGUGGGAGGAUCACCUGAGCCCAGGAAGGUCAAGGCUACAGUGAGCCAUCAUUGUGCCACUGCACUCCAGCCUGGGUGACAGAGUGAGACACCGUCUCAAAAAAGAAAAAAAUCUUCUAUUAAUAUACACACAAAAAUAAAAGUCACUUAGUCACUCUACCCCA